CAAUAUGAACAUAAUAUAUUUAUAUUUAAGUAAUAAGUAUUACAAAUCAACCAAAACAUAACCAAAGACUAAGAGGGAAUAAAUCCCUUUUAAUUCUUGCAUACAAAAAGUCAAUAUCCUAACUCAAAAUACUACAAAAAGUAAGCCACACUACUACACCAUCAUCAGACAUAUCAUCAUUAUCAUCAUUAUCAUCUGCCACACUCAAGUUUAUUCUUGCGAUGUUGGUGUGCGUGAACAAACAAAUCUGAAAGAGCGGGGGAGUGCCAUUCAGUUCCGUCUAUAACAAUACAAAUAAUGAAUUAUAACUAGAAGUCAAAAAUUGUGGAGUAUGUAUGCUACUACAGUUAGUGUAGAUGGCUUACAAAUAUUUUAUAUCAGUAUUUGUGCUCCAUAAUCCGAGUCAUAUUAUGCAGGAAACCAUAACUAAUCCAUCACAUGCUACUGAAUAAAAGAGAUUAAAAAAAAUGCACUGCACCUGCAGUGCCUAUGCGUUGAUAUAUUAAACUAGCUAGUUAGCUCUAAAAAAUGAAUUGACUUCCAUUUUCCUUCAUCAUUAAUUUCUCUGAUAUAUUAAACUAGUUAGCUCUAAAAAAACUGAUUUCCAAGUUACUUGUGACAAAUCUAUUUC
rnacentral:lncRNA from 1 species